GCACUCAUUUUGACAGCACAUAUACUAAAAUUGGAAUGAUACAGAGAGGAUUACAUGGCCCCUGUGCAAGGAUGAGAUGCAAAUCCAUGAAGGCUUCCAUAUUUUA
rnacentral:snRNA from 1 species